rnacentral:rRNA from 1 species
UACGGAGGGUGCGAGCGUUGUCCGGAAUCAUUGGGCGUAAAGGGCGCGUAGGUGGCCCGGUAAGCGUGCGGUGAAAGCUUGGGGCUCAACCCCGAGUCGGCCGUGCGAACUGCUGGGCUUGAGCACUGUAGAGGCAGGCGGAAUUCCAGGUGUAGCGGUGAAAUGCGUAGAUAUCAGGAAGAACACCCGUGGCGAAGGCGGCUCUCUGGGACGGUACUGACGCUGAGACGCGAAAGCGUGGGGAGCAAACAGG